rnacentral:tRNA from 1 species
GCCGGAAUGCCAUGGCGGCGUCGGAUCGGGAUCAGGUUCUGGUUCUGGUUCGGGUUCCGGCUCAGGUUCCGGUUCCGGUUCUGGCUC